rnacentral:rRNA from 1 species
GUCUACGGCCAUACCACCUGAACACACCCGAUCUCUUCUGAUCUCAGAAGCUAAGCAGGGCCAAGCCUUGUUAGUACUUGGAGAAUAACCAAAACAUCCAAACCAUGAGACA